GGGGAAAUGAUGCUGAAACGUGAAUUUUCUUUAUAGAAGGCAAAAAUUGCUUUUGAAAAGUCUUCCUCUGCAGUCUCUGGCCGCCUCCAUUGCGAUUCCCAACCCACCCGAGGAGAGGACGGACCCAGUAGCUGAGACGAAAUGGCUUGGGCUUGCUCUGCAUCGUGCUGAUACGAUCAAAGGGAAUAGCCGGGGGUUUCUGAGAGCCCAGCUAUUUGGAUCAUUCAUGAUUUGCUGCCAUUGUGAACACUCUUAAUGCGAGAACUCUGCCACAGAAAUGCUGAUUAAUAAAGAGGACUGACGGGGGCUAGAGGAAAAGCCGGACAGGGCUCCGAACGAGCCCCACUAAUUGCUGCCUCCGUCUGCC
rnacentral:lncRNA from 1 species